rnacentral:rRNA from 1 species
UCCGUAGGUGAACCUGCGGAGGGAUCAUUACUGAGUGAGGGCUACGGUCCGACCUCCAACCCUUUGUGAACCAAACUUGUUGCUUCGGGGGCGACCCUGCCGCUUCGGCGGUGCGGCGCCCCCGGAGGCCAUUAAACACUGCAUCAUUGCGUCGGAGUAAAAGUAAAUUAAACAAAACUUUCAACAACGGAUCUCUUGGUUCCAGCAUCGAUGAAGAACGCAGCGAAAUGCGAUAAGUAAUGUGAAUUGCAGAAUUCAGUGAAUCAUCGAAUCUUUGAACGCACAUUGCGCCCUCUGGUAUUCCGGGGGGCAUGCCUGUUCGAGCGUCAUUUCACCACUCAAGCCUGGCUUGGUAUUGGGCGUCGCGGCUCCGCGCGCCUUAAAGUCUUCCGGCUGAGCUGUCCGUCUCUAAGCGUUGUGGCAACUAUUCGCUUCGGAGGUCGGGUGGCCGCGGCCGUUAAAUCUUUCACAAGGUUGACCUCGGAUCAGGUAGGGAUACCCGCUGAACUUAAGCAUAUCAAUAAGCGGAGGA